AAGUCGUAACAAGGUUUCCGUAGGUGAACCUGCGGAAGGAUCAUUAACACUUUUUUGUUCUGUUCCAUUUGAGUGCAGAGUCGUUUAUUCGAUUCGCCUCGAUUGGAGCGAACUCAUCAUCCAAAUACCCAAACUGAAUUGCUUGUGGAGAAUUCUUUUCUCCCAUUUUUUUCCAAUUACAAAAAACCCCAAUCUAAUUGCUAAUGCUAUGACAAAAACAAAACAAAAAACUACUUUAACGUAACCAAACAACUCUUAGCAACGGAUAUCUUGGCUCUC
rnacentral:misc_RNA from 1 species